GGCCCAGCCUGCCUCCUGCCAGCGCAGAGGAGGCUCCUCGUGCUGCUGAAGUUAGCUGCAUCUUACCCCUGCCCCAGGUCCUCUCUUCUCUUACACCUAAGGCCAGCCCUGGGCCAGGCCACCAGCAUGUCCGAGCCUUCAUGUUGGCCCACACAUCUUGCAGGACCGCCAAGGCCAAGUGGAGGAGCUGUAGAGCCCCUGGAGAUGCCACCAUCUUGUCCUGAUUAUGGGCAGUUCUGCACAGAGAAAAGAUGUGCCCCUAGGCCAUGACACUCUACAAAGCUCCAUGGAGUUGACUCCAGCACACUGCUAGGCACAAGUGGAAAAGCUGUGAGUGUGGCAGCUGUGACAUACUCAUCUGAUA